CGAACGGCACCUAUCUUCGGAUAGAAGCGAGUGGCGAACGGCUGAGUAACACGUGGAGAACCUGCCCCCUCCCCCGGGAUAGCCGCCCGAAAGGACGGGUAAUACCGGAUACCCCGGGGUGCCGCAUGGCACCCCGGCUAAAGCCCCGACGGGGGGGAUGGCUCCGCGGCCCAUCAGGUAGACGGCGGGGUGACGGCCCACCGUGCCGACAACGGGUAGCCGGGUUGAGAGACCGACCGGCCAGAUUGGGACUGAGACACGGCCCAG
rnacentral:rRNA from 1 species